AUGCCAAAGCUCUGCCACCUCGAGAUAGGAAACAUGCUCAUUAAGACUAGAGUUGUUGUCAAGAUCGCCUCCGAGUGCCAUGACCUCAAGUUCUUAGCUUUGCAUGGUUGUUGGGACGUCGAUGAUAAGCUCUUACAAGAGAAAUAUCUUGGGAUAAAAACCCUCGGCCCCCAUGUGGAGACUGCUAUGAGAAUCGCGUCAGUGCGCAAUCUCUCAAUACUUUGGAGAUUUCGAGGAGCAAUGUCAUGCACAAAGAGUUCACUAGGUUACAUUGCUGGAUGUAAAGCAGCUGCACCAAGAUUGGCGCCUAUGCUCUGGAGGCAUUUAGCAAGAACGAAAAAUCCCUGGACAGAUUUCUGCGAGUCAUACACUCCUUUAGAGAUAUGA
rnacentral:rRNA from 1 species